rnacentral:ncRNA from 1 species
CUAGUCUUUGUCCACCGCUGCCAUUCAGCGGUCGGGUUUAGCAGCUCGGGAU